GCAGGAUAGUCUUGUGGUUAGGGUGUUCGACUCCCGGUCGAAAGGUUCUGGGUUUGAUCCCCAAUGUCCGCA